rnacentral:rRNA from 2 species
UUUAUAUGAGAGUUUGAUCCUGGCUCAGGAUGAACGCUGGCGGCGUGCCUAAUACAUGCAAGUCGAACGAGUUCUCGUUGAUGAUCGGUGCUUGCACCGAGAUUCAACAUGGAACGAGUGGCGGACGGGUGAGUAACACGUGGGUAACCUGCCCUUAAGUGGGGGAUAACAUUUGGAAACAGAUGCUAAUACCGCAUAGAUCCAAGAACCGCAUGGUUCUUGGCUGAAAGAUGGCGUAAGCUAUCGCUUUUGGAUGGACCCGCGGCGUAUUAGCUAGUUGGUGAGGUAAYGGCUCACCAAGGCGAUGAUACGUAGCCKAACUGAGAGGUUGAUCGGCACAUUGGG